UACAGAGGGUGCAAGCGUUAAUCGGAGUUACUGGGCGUAAAGGGCGCGUAGGCGGUCAUUGCAAGUGAGAUGUGAAAUCCCCCGGGCUUAACCUGGGGAACUGCAUUUUAGACUGUGUGACUGGAGUACUGUAGGAGGAUAGUGGAAUUUCCGGUGUAGCGGUGAAAUGCGUAGAGAUCGGAAGGAACACCAGUGGCGAAGGCGACUGUCUGGACAGAUACUGACGCUGAGGCGCGAAAGCGUGGGGGAGCAAACAGG
rnacentral:rRNA from 1 species